rnacentral:rRNA from 1 species
GCCGGUGGUCACAGCGGGGAGAGACAACGCCCGGAACCCAUACCGAACCCGGAAGCUAAGCCCCCCAGCGCCAAUGGUACUGCCCCCGACAGGCGGGCGGGAGAGUAGGACACCGCCGGCA